rnacentral:rRNA from 1 species
UGGUGGAGUGAUUUGUCUGGUUAAUUCCGAUAACGAACGAGACCUUAACCUGCUAACUAGUUCACGGAACGCAAGUUUCGGGGAACUUCUUAGAGGGACUAUCUGUGACUAACAGAUGGAAGUUUGAGGCAAUAACA